rnacentral:rRNA from 1 species
CCUACGGGAGGCAGCAGUGGGGAAUAUUGGGCAAUGGGCGCAAGCCUGACGCAGCGACGCCGCGUGAAGGAAGAAGGCUUUCGGGUUGUAAACUUCUUUUGUCAGGGAAGAGUAGAAGACGGUACCUGACGAAUAGACCACGGCUAACUACGUGCCAGCAGCCGGGGUAACACGUAGGGGGCAAGCGUUGUCAGGAAUUACUGGGGGGAAAGGGCGGGUAGGCGGGUUGGCAAGUCAGAUGUGAAAUCCUUCGGCUUAACCGCAGAACUGCAUUUGAAACUGUUGAUACUGAGUACUGGAGAGGCAGAUGGAAUUCCCAGGGUAGCGGUGAAAUGCGGAGAUAUUAGGAGGAACAGCAGUGGCGAAGGCGGUCUGCUGGACAGAAACCGACGGUGAGGCGCGAAAGCGUGGGGAGCAAACAGGAAUAGAUACCCCAGUAGUC